rnacentral:rRNA from 1 species
GACGAACGCUGGCGGCGUGCUUAACACAUGCAAGUCGAACGAAGUGGCGAACGGGUGAGUAACGCGUAAUCAACCUGCCCUUCAGAGGGGGACAACAGUUGGAAACGACUGCUCAUACCGCAUACUGAAGGAGGGGACUGCGUCUGAUUGGCUAGUUGGAGGGGUAACGGCCCACCAAGGCGAUGAUCAGUCGCCGGGCUGGGAGGAGUAACGGGCACAUUGGAACUGAGACACGGCCCAGACUCCUACGGGAGGGCGCAGUGGGGAAUCUUCCGCAAUGGAAGAAAGUCUGACGGAGCAACGCCGGGUGAGUGAUGACGGCCUUCGGGUUGUAAAGCUCUGUUAAUCGGGACGCGGUACCGGAAUAGAAAGCCACGGCUAACUACGUGCCAGCAGCCGCGGUAAUUC